CUGCUACCCGGUGACUGGGAAGAAGCAUUUCAUGGAAAUCUAUAACCUUGAGAGAUAUUUAGGUGGCAUUCUCAGACCUGUCAUGAAAUGUCAAGUUGUCCUACCAACCCAAUGCAACGGACAGAAGCUCCAUAGGGAAAUGAAUCAUGACUUCCUUGUUCACUGAUGUAUCCAUGGCACCAAGUACAAUGUAUUCGCACAUAUUGGACACCGAUUAACUUAUAUUGAAUGAGAGAAUAAAACCAUAACUUCAGCUAUCAAGUGUUAUAAGGAAGAUAAAAUAUUUAUCAAAA